rnacentral:lncRNA from 1 species
ACGGGGAAUGUGAAAAAUUUUGCAAAAUUUUCUGGGAUGUAAACAAGGCCAUAGUGCAGUGUUAGUGAUGUUCUCUAAAUCCGUCAUAGGAAAUAUGGCAUGGAUUAAUAUAUUUGUUGAAACAUGCACCUGAGCUAGCAUUUGACACAUUCUCCGAAAUUCUGGAAAACCUUCGGACAAGAUUUUUCUAAGUUUUGUUUUUUUUGUGACAUUAUUGUCGAUUUAUCGGUUUCUCUUGUUUUUGUUUAAGGACUGAGACGAGUGUUUAAAACAAAGUGGCAGCCUAUGCUUAGUAGAUGACCCUUGCCUUGUUUAUGUGAAGAUUAGGCCUUGUUUAGUUCGCAAAAACUUUUGGUUCAGGUACUGUAGCACUUUCGUUUUUAUUUGAUAAACAUUAUCCAAUCAUAGAGUAACUAGACUUAAAAGAUUCAUCUCACGGUUUACAGACAAACUGUGUAAUUAGUUUUUAUUUUUAUUUAUAUUUAAUGCUUCAUGUAUGUGCCUAAGAUUCGAUGUGACGAGAAAUCUUGAAAAUUUUUGGGUUUUUAGGUGAACUCAGGCCUUGUUUAGUUGCCGAAAUGAAAAGAUUUCGGCUACUGUAGCACUUUCGUUUGUUUGUGAUAAAUAUUAUUCAAAUAUAGACUAACUAGACUCAAAAGAUUCAUCUUGCGAUUUAUAGACAAACUGUGUA